rnacentral:lncRNA from 1 species
GCUGGAUCUACUCUUGCUGAGAACUUGGCACUGGGUUUAAUGGAGGAUGAAUGUACACCUGAAGACCAGCUCAAGAAACCUGCACAGAGUACAUGUACAAGCCAUGGACCUCCUGAGCAUAUUGAAUAAAUGGAGGACUAAUUCAACUGCAGCAGUGAGGGGAGGCUGGUUUCACUGGCGUCUAUCUGUGAAACUCACCUAGCUGUCAAAACCAGGAUGCUGCUGUUGGAUUCAGGACCUGGAUAUCCUGAAUUUGGGCUGCUCUACUAUUGGUUGCAUCAACGCAAUUCUGCCCACAGAUAAGUAUUUAAGAAACUUAAAAUGGUGAAGUCACAUUUUUGUGGUGCCUGUUCCUUCUGCUAUCUUCUUUCAAUUGCAAAUAUGGUGGCAACAUAGAUGCAAAGUGUCAGUG